AACGCGAAGAACCUUACCUGGGCUAGACAACGGCGGACCGCCUGAGAAAUCAGGCUUUCCCUUCGGGGACUGCCGGUUCAGGUGUUGCAUGGCUGUCGUCAGCUCGUGUCGUGAGAUGUUGGGUUAAGUCCCGCAACGAGCGCAACCCUUAUCGUUAGUUGCCAGCGAGUCAAGUCGGGCACUCUAGCGAAACCGCCUCGGAUAACGGGGAGGAAGGUGGGGAUGGACGUCAAGUCCUCAUGGCCUUUAUGUCCAGGGCUACACACGUGCUACAAUGGCCGGUACAAACCGUCGCAAACUCGCGAGAGGGAGCUAAUCGGAAAAAGCCGGCCUCAGUUCGGAUUGGAGUCUGCAACUCGACUCCAUGAAGCUGGAAUCGCUAGUAAUCGCGGAUCAGCACGCCGCGGUGAAUACGUUCCCGGGCCUUGUACACACCGAUAUA
rnacentral:rRNA from 1 species